UUCAUUUCAACGUUCAUCCUGGGGAAAAAAUUAAAAACAGUUGUCAAACAAAAAUGGAUUGCUUUUGCCAACUUUUUUAGAAACUUUAAGGAAGUCUGCCAAUUAUUUGCAACCGCUAGAUAAUAAGUAAGUAUAGGUUCAAGUAUAAGACUUUGGAAUAAAUACGGAAUAUAAUAUAAAUUUAUUUGAAGAUUUUAUUGCAGAACAAUUUGUAUACACUGUUUGGGAUCAAUCACCGGAAACUUCUUAAGCGGAAAAUCAUCCUGGUUAGAUUCGAAUAUUUCUAUAGACAUGUACAAAUAUACAUCCGUUUCCAAGUGGGCUAUUAAAUCCGUGAUUGGAGCAGCAUUCUCUUUAAAAAUGUCGUGGCGGCUCUCUUCAAGCCAAUCGAACCAUACGUUGGAAUUUGUAAUGACCACUGAAGUCCUACAGAGACAUAACCUCAAAACUGCAAACAGCCACUGGCAUCAGGCAACGAUCCUGACGUCGAUAAUGUCGGAGAAGUGCCCUCCAUCAAUCAGAACGUGGUCGAUUUGUGAUUCUGUCUGCAGUGGUGAUCUCCAGGCGUACCAUUACGGGAGGCUGUAUUGGAAGUAGGUGCUGCAAUUGGCCAUAUUCUUGGAGGCGGCGAUGAUAAGCCGCCCUUAACAAGGAGAACAGACGCUGUUCUGAGCCGAUCCUGACAUGGAGAACAGACGCUCAGUAAGAUUUGCACCUCCGGAGAGAAGCAAACCCCCCCUUCCCUGUCAGCAUACGACCAAAGUUCCCACCGGGGUUGGUUACCCGAUCUUCCCUAAGGUUGCUCGUAUCCCGGCCAGCACCACACCACCGGCCAGCAUUCCUUCAGGUACGCGAAGUACCAAUGGUACGCUUUACCCAGCAUUUGCCGUGCCUCCGUUAUUAUCAUCGGAUUGAGGCAUUGGGACUGUUUACGUUGUUUACAUACUUUCGUUGUCUACGAAUGGAUUCCUGGCCACUAAUUCCUACAGGACCCUCCUCGUCGUUUCGUGAUGACCAUCAAUAGAGAAGCAAUGUCGCUAGAAUCAAAUAUCGACAAUCAAGAAAAAAUGGGUCACGAUUGAUAUUGAUUAUUCGAUCAAAACGGACGAGCAGUAACACAGCCAUUACCAUCAAUUGAUUUUAAUCUGAUUUUUUUUUGUUUCAUACUUAAUUUCAAUUUAUUUCUUCAUUUUCUUAUUUGUACCUUUUGAUAAUUUAAUGAAUGUUUAACAUAGAUCGUAGUUCAACUAAAUAGAUCUGAAUCUUAAAUAAAUUAUAUGGUACGUACAUCCGAAAAUUAUUCUUAUGUUUCCAUGUGUUUAACAACAAUAUUUUCUUGCUGUGAUCAUAAGAAUUCCAUUACACAGACUUAUGAAAUUUC